GGAGGUGGCAGAGUGGUUAUGUGGCUGACUUGAAAUCAGUUUAUGGGGGUUCAAUUCCCUCCCUUCUUG
rnacentral:tRNA from 2 species